CGCGCAACAAAAAGGCGGGGCCAAGAUGAGGUAAAAGCGGGGAGAGGCUUAGAGAAGGUUCCGCCCCUCGGUGACGCAUCCAACCAUUGGAUCUCAUUAUGCCUUCGUCUGCUAGAUUAAAGAGCCAGCUGGUAUCAGAGAUCUCUUGCCUACGGAGUAAAACUACAUUAAAAUAUGCUGGAUACAUAAGAAAUGGACAUGGAUGUGGAUGUGGAAAAAUGGGAAGAUCACACUCAAGACUGCAGGCUUUAGAAACAAGAGCUUAAUAAAGGUCUCCAGAGUUAUGAGAGGAAGCUGUCCAGCUUAGCAGAGGAGAAAAGAGCUUGCAGAAGGCAUAACCAAAAGGGUCGAAACAUCACCUUUUAAUGUGAUGGAUGUGGCAGAGAUUGU